CGAAAGCCUGACGGAGCAAUACCGCGUGAGGGAGGAAGGCCUUUGGGUUGUAAACCUCUUUUCUCAGGGAAGAAGAUCUGACGGUACCUGAGGAAUAAGCAUCGGCUAACUCCGUGCCAGCAGCCGCGGUAAUACGGAGGAUGCAAGCGUUAUCCGGAAUUAUUGGGCGUAAAGCGUCCGCAGGUGGUCUUUCAAGUCUGCUGUCAAAGACCAGAGCUUAACUCUGGGCAGGCGGUGGAAACUGAGAGACUAGAGUUCGGUAGGGGUAGCGGGAAUUCCCAGUGUAGCGGUGAAAUGCGUAGAUAUUGGGAAGAACAUCGGCGGCGAAGGCGCGCUACUGGACCGAAACUGACACUCAGGGACGAAAGCUAGGGGAGCGAAAGGGAUUAGAUACCCCUGUAGUCCUAGCUGUAAACGAUG
rnacentral:rRNA from 1 species